UACGGGGGGGGCAAGCGUUGUUCGGAAUUACUGGGCGUAAAGGGUUUGUAGGUGGCUCGCUAAGUCAGACGUGAAAUCCCUCAGCUUAACUGGGGAACUGCGUCCGAGACUGGCAAGCUUGAGUGCAGGAGAGGAACGCGGAAUUCCAGGUGUAGCGGUGAAAUGCGUAGAGAUCGGAAAGAACACCAACGACGAAAGCACUCUGCUGGGCCGACACUGACACUGAGAGACGAAAGCUAGGGGAGCGAAUGGG
rnacentral:rRNA from 1 species